CCGGUUUCACCCGGUCUGUUUGGAUGAUGCGGGUGUGAUCAUUUUCGGUUAGGUAUAAUCUAUAACAUCGUUUCUCAACCUUAUCAUUUCGGAUCCCCUGUUUCGAUUGAAGCCUACAGCUGUAUGAAAAUUUCUCCACUCCCCCGCCAUUUUCA